AGAGCGCGCGUCUGGACAGGACGGGACAGAGCGGUGCUGUGAGGAGUCUCCUCACAGCCAACUCAUUCGUCGCUGACCAGAAGCAUUUCUGAGGAUUCCUUUUCUAGCAACAUCCCUCGAGGCCAGACCACAGGAGUUGGGGACCCGGAGCUUCUCCGAGACACCACCACUCCUGCUGGAAGGUGCCCUCGAGGACAGACCACGCGACUUGGGGACCCGAAGCUUGUCUGAGGUGUCCCCAAUCCCUGUGGACCGUGGCCCUUGAGGCCAGACCACAGGACUUGGGGACCUGCAGCUUGUCUGAGGCGUCUCCAAUCCCUGUGGAACGUGCCCUUGAGGCCAUUCUGCAGAACUUGCGAGCAGAGGCCUUUCCGAGGUGUCUCUUUUGCAGGUGCCCUUGAGGACAGACUGUGGCAUGGCAGGGAGACGCUCCGGCCUGUGCAGGCUUCUCAGGAGGAGGAACAAAGGCCCUGAGCCUGCCCCAGCACGGCAACCUGAGGAUGUGCAAGACUCCCAGCCCCUGCAGCAGGAUCCAGGCCAGCACCGGACAGAAGAGCACGUCCGUACCCAUGGCCGCUUCCGCAGAGCAGUUCAGAGGUUUCUCAAAUUCGUGGGAAUUCGGCGUAGAACACCCAAGACCACACCACCUGAGGCCAUGGCACAGCCUGACACCAGGCCAACUGACCUC